rnacentral:lncRNA from 1 species
AGUUACGUACACGCUGAUUUUUCCUCAAAAGGCGGAGAAAAUUCAGAGCAAAGCUGAAGUUCUCCAAGGCAAAUGUUGACAAGAACUUGCCUAUCAACCACGGAAUAGAGACCAGCUUGAGACUCAAGAGACCUUCCACUCCGAUAUUCUUAACUGGCCUUCAGACUCUAUCAUCCAGUGAGUACAAGAGAGACUUCAGUCUGUCUCAGGUGCUCUCAGUUGUGCUGUGUGUGGUUUAUCAGUCAUGGAUGAACGUCAACAUGAGGCCGUUCCCAGACCAGCGAGAGCGAGCACCAGCAGGAAGGCAGAUGAAUACUUAAAGCCUAGCCUAGGCAAGAAAAAUCUGAUGAGCUUUUUACUAGGCAGACAGCUGGGAAGGCAGAAGAGUGAUUCAGAAAUGUCAAAGUGGCUGUGGAUGGUGACCCGAGGAACUCCAGGGUGGAGUUGGCCUUUGCCAAAUCACCACAUUACUUACAUGCUUAUGCCCACCCCAAAUCAUUCCAAAUGCUUCCAAAAGAGUGGAAAAUAAAAUUUCUCCUUGUGUCGGCU